CGGAAUCGAAAUCGAAAUUGGAAUGAAAAUUUGAAUCCAUAGAGAAGAGUAAGGAUUGAGUUCUAUAUAAAUUGAGCUAUUCCCAUUCCAUCUUAAAAUCGAAAUUAAAAUAAAUUUUUUUUAACUAAAUAAUUAAAAUAAAAAUCAUCCAUCUUAAUUUCAAUUUUAGAUCUUUACUCUUUCCAAUCAAAUAUUUUUUUAAAUAUUUUCAUAUUAAAAAGUGGUCCAGGUGAAAAAUAGUUGGGAGUUUAUUGUCAAACCGGUUCACAGUUUUAAAGCAACCCGUUUGAAAAGAAUCUUAGCUAGGUACAUGCCCGGCCA
rnacentral:lncRNA from 1 species